ACUAUCGUAACUGGACACACUACCGUUUAUCGUCUAGUGGUGCUCUUCACCGAGUGUCACUAGUGAUCGGUACGUUUACUUUGAAAAAAUUAGAGUGCUCAAAGCGGUCUUUACACGAUCGAAUAAUGUUGCAUGGAAUAAUGAAAUAGGACUUUGGUUCUAUUUUGUUGGUCUUCGGAACCAAGGUAAUGAUUAAGAGGGACAGACGGGGGCAUUAGUAUUGCGACGCUAGAGGUGAAAUUCUUGGACCGUCGCAAGACUAACUAAAGCGAAAGCAUUUGCCAAGAAUGUUUUCAUUAAUCAAGAACGAAAGUUAGAGGUUCGAAGGCGAUCAGAUACCGCCCUAGUUCUAACCAUAAACGAUGCCAACCAGCAAUCAGCCUGUGUUCUCUUGAUGACACGGCUGGCGGCUUCCGGGAAACCAAAGUCUUUCGGUUCCAGGGGAAGUAUGGUUGCAAAGCUGAAACUUAAAGGAAUUGACGGAAGGGCACCACCAGGAGUGGAGCCUGCGGCUUAAUUUGACUCAACACGGGGAAACUCACCCGGCCCGGACACUGUGAGGAUUGACAGGUUGAAGCCCUUUCUUGAUUCAGUGGGUGGUGGUGCAUGGCCGUUCUUAGUUGGUGGAGUGAUUUGUCUGGUUAAUUCCGAUAACGAACGAGACUCUAGCCUACUAAUUAGACUGAGGCAUCCUUCGUGCUGCCUCAGCGCUUCCUAGAGGGACAGACGGCGUUUCAGCCGUAUGAGAAAGAGCAAUAACAGGUCUGUGAUGCCCUUAGAUGUCCGGGGCCGCACGCGCGCUACACUGAAGAGAUCAGCGUGUAUGUGCAUCCUACUCCGAAAGGAGCGGGAAACCGAGUGAACCCUUUUCGUGCUUGGGAUUGGGGAUUGUAAUUAUUCUCCAUGAACGAGGAAUUCCCAGUAAGUGCAAGUCAUCAGCUUGCAUUGAUUACGUCCCUGCCCCUUGUACACACCGCCC
rnacentral:rRNA from 1 species